GUGGGGAAUAUUGGACAAUGGGCGCAAGCCUGAUCCAGCCAUGCCGCGUGUGUGAAGAAGGUCUUCGGAUUGUAAAGCACUUUAAGUUGGGAGGAAGGGCAGUAAGCUAAUACCUUGCUGUUUUGACGUUACCGACAGAAUAAGCACCGGCUAACUUCGUGCCAGCAGCCGCGGUAAUACGAAGGGUGCAAGCGUUAAUCGGAAUUACUGGGCGUAAAGCGCGCGUAGGUGGUUUUGUAAGUUGGAGGUGAAAUCCCCGGGCUCAACCUGGGAACUGCCUCCAAAACUGCAUGACUAGAGUACGGUAGAGGGUAGUGGAAUUUCCUGUGUAGCGGUGAAAUGCGUAGAUAUAGGAAGGAACACCAGUGGCGAAGGCGACUACCUGGACUGAUACUGACACUGAGGUGCGAAAGCGUGGGGAGCAAACAGGAUUAGAAACCCCGGUAGUCC
rnacentral:rRNA from 1 species